rnacentral:rRNA from 1 species
UACGUAGGGUCCGAGCGUUAAUCGGAAUUACUGGGCGUAAAGGGCGCGUAGGCGGCCUUCUAAGUCGAACGUGAAAUCCCCGGGCUCAACCCGGGAACUGCGUCCGAUACUGGGAGGCUUGAAUCCGGGAGAGGGAUGCGGAAUUCCAGGUGUAGCGGUGAAAUGCGUAGAUAUCUGGAGGAACACCGGUGGCGAAGGCGGCAUCCUGGACCGGCAUUGACGCUGAGGCGCGAAAGCCAGGGGAGCAAACGGG